GAUGAACGCUGGCGGCGUGCCUAACACAUGCAAGUCGAGCGAUCUUCUUCGGAAGAGAGCGGCGGACGGGUGAGUAACGCGUGGGUAACCUGCCCUGUACACGCGGAUAACAUACCGAAAGGUAUGCUAAUACGGGAUAACAUAAGAAAGUCGCAUGGCUUUCUUAUCAAAGCUUUUGCGGUACAGGAUGGACCCGCGUCUGAUUAGCUAGUUGGUAAGGUAACGGCUUACCAAGGCGACGAUCAGUAGCCGACCUGAGAGGGUGAUCGGCCACAUUGGAACUGAGACACGGUCCAAACUCCUACGGGAGGCAGCAGUGGGGAAUAUUGCACAAUGGGCGAAAGCCUGAUGCAGCAACGCCGCGUGAGCGAUGAAGGCCUUCGGGUCGUAAAGCUCUGUCCUCAAGGAAGAUAAUGACGGUACUUGAGGAGGAAGCCCCGGCUAACUACGUGCCAGCAGCCGCGGUAAUACGUAGGGGGCUAGCGUUAUCCGGAAUUACUGGGCGUAAAGGGUGCGUAGGCGGUCUUUCAAGUCAGAAGUGAAAGGCUACGGCUCAACCGUAGUAAGCUUUUGAAACUGUAAGACUUGAGUGCAGGAGAGGAGAGUGGAAUUCCUAGUGUAGCGGUGAAAUGCGUAGAUAUUAGGAGGAACACCAGUUGCGAAGGCGGCUCUCUGGACUGUAACUGACGCUGAGGCACGAAAGCGUGGGGAGCA
rnacentral:rRNA from 1 species